GGGGGGGGGGGGGGGGGGGGGGGGGGGGGGGGGGGGGGGGGGGGGGGCGGGGGGGGGGGGCUCGGGCGGGGGGCGGGUGGCGGGCGGGUGGGGAGGACAUCGGACUGCACGUGUUCGGGGGGGAGGGCGGGGGGACGCUUCCGCGCAUCCCGCAUACGCCCUACGGGUGAAAGCAUGUGAUCUUCGGACCUUGCGCGAUCCACUGACCCGAUGUCGGAUUAGCUAGUCGGCGGGGUAAGGGCCCCCCAAGGCGACGAUCCGUCGCUGGGCUGAGAGGAUGAUCAGCCACACUGGAACUGAGACACGGUCCAGACUCCUACGGGAGGCAGCAGUGGGGAAUAUUGGACAAUGUGCGCAAGCCUGAUCCAGCCAUACCGCGUGGGUGAAGAAGGCCUUCGGGUUGUAAAGCCCUUUUGUUGGGAAAGAAAAGCAGCAGGUUAAUACCUCGCUGUUCUGACGGUACCCAAAGAAUAAGCACCGGCUAACUUCGUG
rnacentral:rRNA from 1 species